rnacentral:rRNA from 1 species
CUGGCUCAGGACGAACGCUGGCGGCGUGCCUAACACAUGCAAGUCGAGCGAGGAGAUCCUUCGGGAUGAUCCUAGCGGCGGACGGGUGAGUAACACGUGGGCAACCUGCCUCAUAGAGAGGAAUAGCCUUCCGAAAGGGAGAUUAAUACCUCAUAACAUUGCAGUUUCGCAUGAAACAGCAAUUAAAGGAGCAAUCCGCUAUGAGAUGGGCCCGCGGCGCAUUAGCUAGUUGGUGAGGUAACGGCUCACCAAGGCGACGAUGCGUAGCCGACCUGAGAGGGUGAUCGGCCACAUUGGGACUGAGACACGGCCCAGACUCCUACGGGAGGCAGCAGUGGGGAAUAUUGCACAAUGGGGGAAACCCUGAUGCCAGCAACGCCGCGUGAGUGAUGACGGCCUUCGGGUUGUAAAGCUCUGUCUUCAGGGACGAUAAUGACGGUACCUGAGGAGGAAGCCACGGCUAACUACGUGCCAGCCGCCGC